GGAUUAGAUACCCUGGUAGUCCACGCCCUAAACGAUGUGUGCUAGUUGUUAGUCCCUCAGGGAUUAGUGACGCAGCUAACGCAUUAAGCACACCGCCUGGGGAGUACGGCCGCAAGGUUAAAACUCAAAGAAAUUGACGGGGACCCGCACAAGCGGUGGAGCAUGUGGUUUAAUUCGAAGCAACGCGAAGAACCUUACCAACCCUUGACAUCCUGGUCGCGGAUCGCAGAGAUGCUUUCCUUCAGUUCGGCUGGACCAGUGACAGGUGCUGCACGGCUGUCGUCAGCUCGUGCCG
rnacentral:rRNA from 1 species